GAUGAACGCUGGCGGCGUGCUUAACACAUGCAAGUCGAACGAUGAAGCCCAGCUUGCUGGGUGGAUUAGUGGCGAACGGGUGAGUAACACGUGAGUAACCUGCCCUUAACUCUGGGAUAAGCCUGGGAAACUGGGUCUAAUACCGGAUAGGAGCGUCCACCGCAUGGUGGGUGUUGGAAAGAUUUAUCGGUUUUGGAUGGACUCGCGGCCUAUCAGCUUGUUGGUGAGGUAAUGGCUCACCAAGGCGACGACGGGUAGCCGGCCUGAGAGGGUGACCGGCCACACUGGGACUGAGACACGGCCCAGACUCCUACGGGAGGCAGCAGUGGGGAAUAUUGCACAAUGGGCGCAAGCCUGAUGCAGCGGCGCCGCGUGAGGGAUGACGGCCUUCGGGUUGUAAACCUCUUUCAGUAGGGAAGAAGCGAAAGUGACGGUACCUGCAGAAGAAGCACCGGCUAACUACGUG
rnacentral:rRNA from 1 species